CCUACGGGCGGCAGCAGUGGGGGAUAUUGCACAAUGGGGGGAACCCUGAUGCAGCGACGCCGCGUGGGUGAAGAAGCGCCUCGGCGCGUAAAGCCCUGUCAGCCGGGAAGCAAAUGACGGUACCUGAAGAAGAAGCCCCGGCUAACUACGUGCCAGCAGCCGCGGGAAUACGUAGGGGGCAAGCGUUAUCCGGAUUUACUGGGUGUAAAGGGGGCCCAGACGGGGAUGCAAGCCAGGUGUGAAAGCCCGGGGCCCAACCCCCGGACUGAUCUUGGAACUGAGUGGCUGGAGUGCAGGAGGGGCAGGCGGAAUUCCUGGUGUAGCGGUGAAAUGCGUAGAUAUCAGGAGGAACACCGAUGGCGAAGGCAGCCUGCUGGACUGCAACUGACGUUGAGGCCCGAAAGCGUGGGGAGCAAACAGGAUUAGAUACCCGGGUAGUC
rnacentral:rRNA from 1 species